AGCUCUUGAACGCCUUCCUUCCCUAUGGCAUCUUUGAGAUAAUCUGCCGCUGCUGCUACCUCUUCAGGAGUUACUUUGCCAUCGCGGUCCCUGCGACAAGAUCAGCUUAUUAUUGAUGAAGGAAAAAUCAAAGAGAAUGACAUGAAGCAGUGAUCUAAUAGCCAUCUGGAGUUCUUAACUCAACUCUGGUAAAGCGAAGCUAAGAUAUUCAUGGCAAGUAGCAAGAAACAUGCUAGCAAGUGCCUCACGAGUCAUGACAGCCUCAAGCGCAUGCAAAGAGCAUUUACCUAUCAAGCAGCUGCCAGCGGUUGCCUAUUCGUUUAUCAACAUAAUCAAUCUCC